UCCUCCCACCAUAGUGGUGGGCCGGCACAGUCCCGCCUAUGCCAAAGAGGACCCCAAACCACAAGAGGGGUUGUUGCGGGGCACCCCAGGCCCCUCCAAGGAAGUGCUUCGGGUGGUGGGUGAGAGCGGUGAGCCUGUGAAGGCCUUUAAGUGUGAACACUGCCGCAUCCUCUUUCUGGACCACGUCAUGUUCACCAUCCACAUGGGUUGCCAUGGCUUCAGAGACCCUUUCGAGUGUAACAUCUGUGGUUAUCACA
rnacentral:lncRNA from 1 species